rnacentral:rRNA from 1 species
AGAGUUUGAUCCUGGCUCAGAAUGAACGCUGGCGGCGUGCCUAACACAUGCAAGUCGAACGAGAAAGCCCGCUUCGGUGGGCGAUUAAAGUGGCGAACGGGUGAGUAACAUGUAGGUAAUCUGCCCUCAAGACUAGGAUAACAUUUCGAAAGGGGUGCUAAUACUGGAUAAGACCACAGCAGGAAACUGCAGUGGUAAAAGCUGGCUUAUGCAUAUAAGCUAACGCUUGAGGAUGAGCCUGCACACCAUUAGCUAGUUGGUAGGGUAAUGGCCUACCAAGGCUACGAUGGUUAGCUGGUCUAAGAGGAUGGUCAGCCACACUGGAACUGAGAUACGGUCCAGACUCCUACGGGAGGCAGCAGUGAGGAAUAUUGCGCAAUGGGGGAAACCCUGACGCAGCGACGCCGCGUGAGUGAAGAAGGCCCUCGGGUUGUAAAGCUCUGUCGGACAGAAAGAAAAGGCUAAGGUUAAUAGCCUUAGUUCUUGACGGUACUGUCAGAGGAAGCACCGGCUAACUCCGUGCCAGCAGCCGCGGUAAUACGGAGGGUGCAAGCGUUAUUCGGAAUUACUGGGCGUAGAGCGCGUGUAGGCGGUUGGGUAAGUCCAACGUGAAAGCCCUUAGCUCAACUAAGGAAGUGCGUCGGAAACUGUUCAACUAGAGUACGGGAGGGGGAAGUAGAAUUCCCGGUGUAGAGGUGAAAUUCGUAGAUAUCGGGAGGAAUACCAGUAGCGAAGGCGACUUCCUGGAACGAUACUGACGCUGAGACGCGAAAGCGUGGGGAGCAAACAGGAUUAGAUACCCUGGUAGUCCACGCCGUAAACGGUGGGCACUAAGUAUAGUGAGUUGAUCUCUGCUGUGCUGUAGCUAACGCAUUAAGUGCCCCGCCUGGGAAGUACAGUCGCAAGGCCGAAACUCAAAGGAAUUGACGGGGGCCCGCACAAGCGGUGGAGCAUGUGGUUCAAUUCGAUGCAACGCGAAAAACCUUACCUGGGCUUGACAUGUCAAGAACCCGAUGGAAACAUUGGGGUGUCCCGCAAGGGAAGCUUGAACACAGGUGCUGCAUGGCUGUCGUCAGCUCGUGUCGUGAGAUGUUGGGUUAAGUCCCGCAACGAGCGCAACCCUUACCUUUAGUUGCCAGCAAGUAGUGUUGGGCACUCUAAAGGAACUGCCAGUUUAAAACUGGAGGAAGGUGGGGAUGACGUCAAGUCCUCAUGGCCCUUACGUCCAGGGCUACACACGUGCUACAAUGGCUAGUACAAAGGGAAGCGAACUUGUGAGAGUAAGCAAAUCCCAGAAAGCUAGUCUCAGUCCGGAUUGGAGUCUGCAACUCGACUCCAUGAAGUUGGAAUCGCCAGUAAUCGCGGAUCAGCAUGCCGCGGUGAAUACGUUCUCGGGCCUUGUACACACCGCCCGUCACACCACGAAAGUUGCUUAUACCCGAAGUCGCGGGGCUAACCUAGUAAUAGGAGGCAGGCGCCUAAGGUAUGGGUAGUAAUUGGGGUGAAGUCGUAACAAGGUA